rnacentral:rRNA from 1 species
UACGAAGGGGGCUAGCGUUGCUCGGAAUCACUGGGCGUAAAGCGCACGUAGGCGGCUUUUUAAGUCAGGGGUGAAAUCCUGGAGCUCAACUCCAGAACUGCCUUUGAUACUGAGAAGCUUGAGUCCGGGAGAGGUGAGUGGAACUGCGAGUGUAGAGGUGAAAUGCGUAGAUAUCUGGAGGAACACCGGUGGCGAAGGCGGCAUUCUGGACCGACAUUGACGCUGAGGAGCGAAAGCCAGGGGAGCAAACGGG